UGUGAAAGUACUUUGAAGUUGAUCAAAGCUAGAAAGUGAUGUUUUCUUAGACUACAAGCUUUCUGUAUAAUAUAAUUGCUGGAAAAAUUUAGUUUGAUACCUUGAAAGUUUAGUAACCUUCCAAAAAUAUGAAAAAAAGAUGUGGUAUGAUUGGCAAUAAGAUAACUAUCCACAAGAGUCUAAUAAACAUUAAUUAACAGCUAUAGGUCACCGAAUAAAGCAUUAAAUGGUACGUACCAAAAAGUAACUACUCUUGUAUGUGAACAAAUGGAAACAUAGAAACGAAAUAUAUUUGAUACAAACUGCAAUUUUCCUGACUUGGCACAUGGCAUUUUAAGCAAAAUGCUGGAUUGAAUUGAUUUUAUGGCUAGCUAAAGUCUCGCUUAAAUGGCAAUGUUAAAAUACAUCGCUAAAAUAACAACAUUAUGUGUCAGGAAUACAGAACAACCUAACGCAAAAACACUGAGCAAAGAGAAACGCAUACAUAAAUA
rnacentral:lncRNA from 1 species